GUAAAGAUAAGAGAACGAAGAUGCCAUUAUUU
rnacentral:guide_RNA from 1 species